GAUGACCAGAAUUCUUUGAUGCGUGUCUGUCAGUCAAAGCUGCUGUGAACUGUGACCAGAAAAUUCAGAUCACAGCACGCUUUGAUGGCUGGAACUGCAUUGUCUUCAUACAUGUCUGGA
rnacentral:precursor_RNA from 10 species